AAGGGUCUGGAGCACAGGUCUGAUGAGAAGUGGCUGAGGAAGCUGGGGCUGUUUAACUUGGAGCAAAAGAUGCUCGAAGGAGACCUUAUCACCCUCUACAACCACCUGAAUGGAACGUGUCGCCAGGUGAGAAUUCAUGCACAUCUUAUGAUCUGGAGACUGAAUUUUGGCCCAGAAUCUUCUGUGGACAGGUUCCACAACAAUUUGAAGAAAUCAGUCUCAGGUCUGUUCAGACACGAGAAUCAGCGAUGCGCCACAAAGGAUAGAAAUAUGUUUGUCACCUAACUACACCAGGCCUUUUUGUGACAAAAACUGUCUGCAGAACCACAGUGAAGAUAGAGCCAGUGUUGGAGUAGAGUAUUGAAGCAGAGGGUAAAUUUACAGAGGAGCUAAGUAAGCCAGAAAAAUUAAACUGCCUGU